AGUCGAGCGGACCUUUCAAAAGCUUGCUUUUGGAAGAUCAGCGGCGGACGGGUGAGUAACACGUGGGCAACCUGCCUGUGAGACUGGGAUAACUUCGGGAAACCGGAGCUAAUACCGGAUAAUAUAAGGAACCUCCUGGUUCUUUAUUGAAAGAUGGUUUCGGCUAUCACUCACAGAUGGGCCCGCGGCGCAUUAGCUAGUUGGUGAGGUAACGGCUCACCAAGGCGACGAUGCGUAGCCGACCUGAGAGGGUGAUCGGCCACACUGGGACUGAGACACGGCCCAGACUCCUACGGGAGGCAGCAGUAGGGAAUCUUCCACAAUGGACGAAAGUCUGAUGGAGCAACGCCGCGUGAGCGAUGAAGGCCUUCGGGUCGUAAAGCUCUGUUGUUAGGGAAGAACAAGUGCGAGAGUAACUGCUCGCACCUUGACGGUACCUAACCAGAAAGCCACGGCUAACUACGUGCCAGCAGCCGCGGUAAUACGUAGGUGGCAAGCGUUGUCCGGAAUUAUUGGGCGUAAAGCGCGCGCAGGUGGUCCUUUAAGUCUGAUGUGAAAGCCCACGGCUCAACCGUGGAGGGUCAUUGGAAACUGGGGGACUUGAGUGCAGAAGA
rnacentral:rRNA from 1 species